rnacentral:tRNA from 1 species
GGGUCUUUAGCUCAGUUGGUAGAGCAGCGGACUCUUAAUCCGUUGGUCGAGGGUUCGAGCCCCUCAGGACCCACCA